AUUGAACGCUGGCGGCAGGCUUAACACAUGCAAGUCGAGCGGGGUGAUGGUGCUUGCACUAUCACUUAGCGGCGGACGGGUGAGUAAUGCUUAGGAAUCUGCCUAUUAGUGGGGGACAACAUCUCGAAAGGGAUGCUAAUACCGCAUACGUCCUACGGGAGAAAGCAGGGGAUCACUUGUGACCUUGCGCUAAUAGAUGAGCCUAAGCCGGAUUAGCUAGGUGGUGGAGUAAAGGCCUACCAAGGCGACGAUCUGUAGCGGGUCUGAGAGGAUGAUCCGCCACACCGGGACUGAGACACUGCCAAGACUCCUACGUGAGGCAGCAGUCGGGAUUGUUGGUCGAUGUGGGGAACCCUGAUCCAGCCAUGCCGCGUGUGUGAAGAAGGCCUUAUGGUUGUAAAGCACUUUAAGCGAGGAGGAGGCUCGUCUGGUUAAUACCCAAGAUGAGUGGACGUUACUCGCAGAAUAAGCACCGGCUAACUCUGUGCCAGCCGCCGCAGUAA
rnacentral:rRNA from 1 species